UCGGACGUGGUGCAUGGUGCACGCCCGCUCGCAAUGUAGAAUGAUGAGAAUACUUUAAAAGCGGGAGACCCGGGUUCGAUUCCCAGCGUCCGAA